UCAUUGUAACUCAAAGGAUGGAA
rnacentral:piRNA from 1 species